AAUUUGUGUUGAGGGCAUCGUUGUAUCAAAUCUUUAUACCUUUCCCAUACUUCAUAGAGUGAUUCGAAAUCAUUUUGCCAAAAUUGACAAAUUUCACUUCUGAGUU